ACAGAGGCAUAGGGAACAGCGUCCGCGACAGCAGGAAACCUGGUCUCCUCCCUCCAUGAGCUGACGGCCUGCUGAGGGAGACUCCGUCUGCCGAGCAAAGACCACUCAGUACCUGUGCCAGACAGGAAUCCCUACAGGAGCAUUCUGGAGCCCAGUGCAGAUCUGACCUGGAAGUCACGCUAUCUGAGGAGUUCUCAAAAGUUAAAGAGAGGGCUCUGCCUUCUGACUGUAAGUCUUCCCAGUGGUGGUGAUGAUGUCAUGACAUCACCAACAUCUAACCCUAGUGUUCUGACCAGCCCAUAUCCACUUGUCUUACUGGUCUCAGCCACCAAGGGGUUGAGGACCCCAGUUCCUGUCACUUCUUGUCAUCUUCUCGUGUGCAUGGAGGGGUGAGGCCCAGCAACCCCUCACUCUGAGCUUCACUAGAGUUGGGGCAGAGGCUGAAAUGGGGCAACUCCUGCUGGCCCCUAGCCUCUUCCCUUGAGCCCAGGACAUAGCAGCCCCUUUCAGGACAGAGACCACACCGUGGGAACUGGCCACGCUGGAGCAGCCAGCUCUCAGAUGCCUGAACCUCUCAUUUCCCUCCAGCCUACCCACACCUAGCAAUGCAGGGACUUUCUGACCUGGGUGUCCGUGAGGGCCCUGGUACUGUCCCAAAAGAUGCCUUCGUCCUAGCUGUGGCCACCCCCAACUGUAAGUACACCCAAGGGUAAAUCAGGGCCCAGAAACAAAAGCUAUAUCCCAUCAGGGUUUAUCUCCUAGAUUUUAGGAUCCUUGCCAGGACCUCAUGGAUUGCAUUCCCUGGUCAGAAGCAAAUGGGGCCUCAGUCUCUGACCCACAG
rnacentral:lncRNA from 12 species